UCGAAUGUGGUGUAUGGUGCACGGCCUUGAUAUAUGAAAUGCUACCAAGUAAUCUCAACUUGAAGGGCAGGACGGGGUUCAACUCCCCGCGUUCGAA